ensembl:lncRNA
GGGAGGUAGUGCAGAGUUGGAUAGAAGGAAAAAAGAAGAGGCAAGAGACAAAAAAAAAAGAGGCAUGGCAGCGUAAAGCUUGGAUUUUAUUUAUAACUACUACAGUGCAAUGAAGAUUGAAGGAGAGGCACAGGUGUGGCAAUGAUGCAGUGGUCUUCAGAGUGGGCGGAGCAACGAUAUGACGUCUCUUCUACCACAUCAUCUCCAGUACACCCUAAGCCCCUCCCAUUGCCACAGCCCAGUCGUCCUGCGUUCUCAGGCUACACUGACGACAUCAGUGCCCUCAGUGCCUCUAGCUUGCUAAAACGCUAUGCCGAGAGGUAUUCCUUCAACUCGUCCUUACCAGAACAUGGGAGUUUCCUGAGAAGUGAGCAGCACCAGGAGCCAUGGCCUGGGGGGUACAGCGCAGACGGGCCUCCUGGUUUAGACCCAUUGAAGGGGAGCGGAAGUGAUCUUUCAGAACAGCAGUACAGUAGUGGUCCCACAUCUCAGGAUUACCCUUCAUCCUACAGCACCCAACACCUGCUGCCUAAACCAUCCUAUCUUCCGUCGCCAGCAUUUGCCUUGCCGUCUGCAUACCUGCCACCCGCACCAGGCUACGCUUAUUCCCAGCAAUGCGGUCUGAGUGCUAGUUACCCUCACAGCACCCCUUCUCUGCUGCCCUCGGGUCUACACACUCCCACACCUCUCCACAGCAGCCUCACUGCUGCUGAACUCCCACGUAACAGGAAGUUCAGCUUCGACCAGUCCAAAACUGCCAGAGUCUCACCAUACACAAUUAGGGACAAGAAUGAUCAGCAGAACAGCGACAGUGGUGGAAAUGUCAACGAAAUUUGUGGGACGGACCUCCAAAGCUACAGACCCGAUAGACUUUCCACUCAGUCUGAUCUUGAGGCAGAUUCUGUGGGUAAAACCAGUCACCUACGGCCUCUUGAGACACGGUCUUAUGGAGGUCCGGGACAGUACACAUAUCCCUGAGUCUACUGAGUCUACUUGAUGUAGUGAAACAAUCCUUUUAUAUAUAUAUAUAUAUAUAUAUAUAUAUAUAUAUAUAUAUAUACAUAUAUACAUACAUACAUACAUACAUACAUACAUACACGUGUUUAUAGCAAUACUUGAACAUAUCAAACAUCAGGGCAAAUAGCAUUAUGGUAUGAAACCAUUUACGGACUGAGAAGAUAGAUGUCUCUCUUAUGCACAUUAUCAUUAUUUCUGACUGCAGCUUUAAUGAGACCUGUAGCACAGACACUCUUUUGUAUCCCUGAAAUCACACUUUUUUUUAUUCUCUUCCUUUCCUCUUUUACUCUCUCUCUCUAUAAUUAUGUUGUGCAGUGAAGCACAUUAUGGUGGCAAGUACUAAUCAACUGCUUCAAUUAAUGAAAUCCAAGCUAAAGAAAGACUGAAAGAGAGGAAUUGAAAAGAAAAGUACACAAAAAUGAGCCUGUAUUGUAAGUCAAAGCACACAUAUGAAAGUUUCAUAUGUCAUGUGUAAUGUAAGGUUUUUAUACAUUUUGUUAGUGAGCAUGUCUGUGUAAGGUCAUGGAUGUUCUUCAACACUGAAAUCAGAUAAAAACACUCUUUAUUUUAGGAAUAUUAUGUAAGGUUCCUCUAUAAACUUUGAAUGUAAAGCUGAUUUCCCUCAGGAAUUGUGAAUGAAGCCAUACUUAAUGUUUAUCUUAUACAAUUUUUGAGUUUGAAAGAUGUUUUUGUGUUUUAUUGUCUAAUUAGUGUAGUAUCUUUGCCAUGUCCUUCAUUAAAAAAAAAAAAAAAAAAAGUAUUUGUGACAUUACAUACAGUAUUUCAUUCAUAAAAAUGCACAUUUUUACAGAACAAAUAUAUCUGGCUUUCACAGGGCUAUUGCAAAAAGGCUCAAAGGCUUUUUGCAGUCUUUUCCACUAUUCACCUAUUGUGACAUUUACUAUGGAAACCCACAGAGCUCUCUCAGCCCCCUGAGUUGAUCACUGGAUGUGUUUUCCUCUGACCCUCUGACCCUUCUCUGUUUUAAAUGAGGCAUGUGAAAGAAUAGAGAGCUUUUGUUAUGGUGAGGCAAAUGGGACAUACACUGAAAUGUACAAACCGAAAUGAAAAUGACAGACUGGUUAAUAUUUAAAUGUACAUUUUAUGUUACUUUAACACUUGCAAUAUGCUGGAAAAAAUAAUAUGACUUAAUACAUGUACAAUCUACCUCACUGUUACAAUGCUGUUUGUUCAGAGUACGCAUUUGUGUAUUACAUGUCAAAAUGUCUACCUCAAGGAAAAA